UACAGAGGUCUCAAGCGUUGUUCGGAUUCAUUGGGCGUAAAGGGUGCGUAGGCGGCGCGGUAAGUCGGGUGUGAAAUCUCGGGGCUUAACUCCGAAACUGCAUUCGAUACUGCCGUGCUUGAGGACUGGAGAGGAGACUGGAAUUUACGGUGUAGCGGUGAAAUGCGUAGAUAUCAGGAGGAACACCGGUGGCGAAGGCGGGUCUCUGGGCAGUAACUGACGCUGAGGAGCGAAAGCGUGGGGAGCGAACAGG
rnacentral:rRNA from 1 species